UGUAAUGGAUCGCCUGGCACCCCGACUGGGUACCUCCGUUGAAGGAUGCUCCUAGCGCUUCCUGAGGACUCCAAGCACUGCAGCAGACACCACAACCACCGAACCGGAGAAGCAUACGAAUGCUCUCAAGCAUAUGAAUGCUGUUAGCAGCUGAGCAGGAAAAGCAUACAAUCAGCUUACACUCCUGGCAAUCAGCAUACAAUCCA